AUACUUACUUGGCAGAAGAGAUUCCAUGAUCAUGAAGGUGUUUUCCUCAGGACAAGGCUUAUCCAUUGCACUCUGAAUGUGCUGAUCCUUGCAAUUUCCACAAAUGUGGGAAACUUGACCUAUGUAAUUUGUGAUAGCACUCUCUUAGUA
ensembl:snRNA U1 U1 spliceosomal RNA